GAGGAGUUAGAAACAUCUGGUGACAGUGUGAGUACAUAUGUAGGGAGGCAGGUACGGCAAGAAGUGAUUCAGCGGUAUUUUUCGGAUAACUGAGGUGAUCUGGGCUCAUCACUCUGUGGACUCGCCAAUAGUGCCUGUGGUGGCUGGGGUGAGACUGCAGAAAUGCGCCGCCUGGGUGGGGAAGAUGGAGCCGCAGAUUCAGAGACAAGACGCCGUGUCUUACUUGGCCUCCUGGAAUAUGUGACUACAGUGAAUUCUUACCUGCAAUCCCAGCAUCAUCCUGAGUUGUCUGUGGCCUGUCUGGCCGGCUGGUCUGUCGGACUGUUGA